AGCAAAUAAAGCCUGAUCUAUACUAAUACAAAAAUUGGUACUGGAAGGGCACUGCUGUAACAGAAACCUAAAAUAUAUGGCAUUGACAUAUAUGAUUAUGUUACAAAUGUUAGUGGUUGGUUGUUAGGCAGCAUCCAGCUCUGAUUCACUUAGGAAUCUCUCAGCAAAUGUAGCUUAGAAAUUUGAGCUCAAUAAAUAUUUCUUAAAUAAGAUAGACUGUUUCUUGUAAUUCUGUUCUAUUUCUCUAUUUUAGGGGAAAACACUUCUUUCCCACAUCAGAUGUUUCUUAAAGUAUGGAGGGGGUGCCACUAACAUAACACUCCAUACCUCAUUCCAGCGCUUCUAACAAGUUUCCUGAUGUGGCAUUCUGGGAACAAAACCUACCCUUUACCAGUGGCCCCACGAGAUUCCACAAAAGAGGUGAAAUCAGUAUUGAAGUGGCCUUAUGAAGAUGGGAGCAGGACUAUCCUAACAGACUGCUGACUUCUUACCCAAGGGGGAUAACCAUGGCCUAAGGUGAUCUCAGUGGGACCCACACUGUGGUUAUAAGUGGACAGGGUGGUGUUCACGGAGUUGCUACAAACAACACAGGAUCUGGCAUCGGACAUCCUGCACAUAAAACCUUCCUUACCGUAUAUUAAUGGAGUGACUUGGCGAAGCUACUUAACUUCCUUCAGCUUCAGUUUCUUCAUUUGUAAAAUAGGAAUGUAAAAAAAACAUCUUCCCCAGAGAUUGCACAUGAAGAUGAAGUGAGGUAAGGUUGGAAUCAUCAACCUUAAGGGUUGGGUGCUAGGAGCUUACAGUUAUGAUGUUUCUCCUCACUGGGGAAUUCAGAUGUACAUCAAAGUGUGAGAACUAAUGGUCCAGGAUAUGUCUACUUUCUCAUCUGAGUCUCUGGAAUGUCCUAUAGGUUCUAUAACCAAGAAUAAAGCCACAGUGCUUAUUUAGAGGGAGAACAGGGGAAGUCUUUUGGGCCACUGAAGGGAUCAAAUCACUACAGGAAUUUUAAGUGGCCUUAGGCCUGGCCCUUGAAACUGCUCCUGAUUCCCUUCUUGAGCUGCCAUAAGCCACUGACUGAUCCUUCUUGAGAGACAAUGACAGUGUCUCAUCAUAAUAGUGAGAUUAACCCUGAUUUAAGAAUCUUGUUUCCCUGGCAAGAUCAGGGUUCAUGUUCUGUUUAUAGCAGAUCUUUGGACUAAAGCUCUCUGGCUUUGCUUCUGAACUGAUUCUUUUACCCCAGGGAUUUUAAGAACAGUUCUGAUUCGGAGGUUAGGGAGACAAUACCAGAGUGGCCUUCUAACUCCUCCUUUAGGCCUUUCCUACUUCAAAUCUACAUUAGUCUGGAAGUUGUACUAAUUUUGGGGAUGUAGAAGUUGAGGAAUUUGGAAAUUAGCUUUCAUUUUGCUAUUUAGAUUUCUAAAUAAGAUUAUCCUUUUCACAAGAUUGUAAGACUGGAUU
rnacentral:lncRNA from 1 species